AUGAGCAGAGAAUACACGGGCCAACCUUAGGACCCAGAGAAGUUGCUAUGGUUUGGGCAGUAGGUAAGGACCAUGAAUUUUGCUGGGGGCUGCGCCUCCGUUCCAGGAAGGGAAAAAGGCUCACCAAAGCCUUUCUGUUCUUCAACCUUGAGCAGCCUCUGAAUGGGAGCCAGCCAUCUUCUUACCACCUCCUUCUCACCACUCCUCCGGCACAGCUUCAGCAUGUGUCACCCGGGCAGGGGAAUUGGACCACCAGGCUGUUGAGCAGCAAAGCGUGCGGCCUCCACUUCGAUGUGACGGAGCCGUUCCGCCGUGCUGAAGGAGGCCAGGACACUGAGAUGUGCGUCCAGGCCAUCCGCCCAAAGGAAGGUGUCUGGGAGGCCUUUCAGCUUCGCCUGCAGUGCCCGCCUUUUUUGGCCGCUUUGUGGCGAAGGCUUCUCCGGCCUGAUGGCUAGGUGACCAGAACGGAGAUCCACCUUUGCUCCGUAAUGGAGGGUGACACCUAGCAAUUGGGGGAUGAAAGGUGGGAGGGAGGUAGCCCAGAUUCAUAUGCGCACUCUCACACUCCAGUUCAACUGCUGAGAUGCCAGAGGCAGCACCAUGACAGACUUUAUUACUACACAAGUCUUCCUAACUCCAGCAGCAUAUAAUACGUUGAACUAACAGCACCAUGACAGACUACACAAGUCUUCCCAACUCCAGCAGCAUAUAAUACGUUGAACUACAAAGCCUAUAGUUACUAGUCAUGCUGGUUCACAAGACUGUUAUUGUACUAUGCUACCUCUGGAGAGUGCAAAGUUGGGAAAGAGUCACGUGGUGUCAUCAGAUUUCAAUGAGCUGGGUGUCAUCUUUUUCCAUUAAUGUGAGGGUGCCAUUCCCAAGGUUGCGAAGCCACAUGGGUGUUGUAGUGAGGGAAACCUCUCCUAGCAUCCUGUGGCUGGUUCUGAGGGGAGGCGCUGCCAUCAUUCUCCCUCCUUCUCAUUAUCAUAGAGAGCGUGCCAUAGAGGUCUUUCUUUAGGCCAAUCAGAGGGCUUGAUUAAUUGCCUUUCUCCGGACCAACCCUAAUUACAUGAUGUAACCAUUGUCCUAUCUGAACCCUAUUUACUAUCUGUAAUGCUGUCACUACCUGUGACCUUGUGAUGUUAAUAAAAGAGCAGUCUCCUGGGGGCA
rnacentral:lncRNA from 1 species